CCCGGACCGUACUAAGAGCUUUCGUCUGGGGAGAAAGCCGCGCAAACGUGCUGGGAAGCCGCCCCCAGGGGCUACACCACCCGGACCGCACCAAAAGUCCUCGCCUGCGUCGGGGCUCCUAUUGCUGGGCGCCGCAGCGAGCCGGAUGGAGGUCGCGAUCUCCGGGGCGGCCUCCCCCACGCCUGUGGGCGCGCUCUCACGCCGGCCUCCCGGUCCCGGCCCUUAACCUCUCGGCGCCGAGCCCCAGUUCGCAGGUAACCGACGUCGCCCACGGUCCCUCCGCUCAGGUCGCGCUCCGAGCUAGGGACCCAGAGACCCCUCACACCCGGACCCUGCCCUGGAGGCGCUCAAGAUCUGCGCGGGGGGGCGACACAGACACGAGGCACACGCAGCGUGACGGCGAGGUGAAGCGGCGAGGAGGAGGGGACUGAAGGGAAGAGGCGCUGCUUUCGGAGGUGACGGCGUUUGAGCUGGAACGCGAGGGCUGCCGUAGGUGAUAAACUGUCUCCAGCAAGACCCCCGGCCAGAGCUCUGCAGGCACGGCUGCUAUGAAGAAUGAAAGGAGGGAUUCGCUGGACCCGGCCUCACCCUGCUCUCGCUCUCAUGAUUCUGCGCGAACAGUCACGUUGGCUGAGCUCAGCUAGAUGAUUCUCACUUCGAGGCUCAUGUGGCUGCAGUCACAAGCCAGAAUGGAGUCACCUGAAGACUCAGUGGGACUAGUUGCUAAUUAUGGCUGACUUGUUUAGCUGGCAGGAGAUGCUGGCUGUUGGCUGGAAGGCUGAUUAGAGCUGAAAACCUGAGUGCCUACAUGUAGCCCCUCCAUUUGGUUUCUUGGAGCAUGGUGGCUAGAUUCUGAAAGGAAACAUCCCCAAAGGAGCAUUCCAGCAGGCAGUGAGCUGCUAGUCCUGUAUGGCUUGAGCCCAGAAACUAGCCCAACAUCACUUGCUCUGCAUUCUGUUGUCCAAAGCAAUCACGGUCCAGCCCAGAUUCAAGGACAGGGGCCAUAGAUCCAGCUUUCAGUGAAAGAAGUGUCAAAAAAAUCUCUGGCCAUCUUUAAUUCAUUAUAUUUGGCACCAAAUAAACCUUCAAAUCUUA